GGGCGCAAACUCAGUUUGAAAACAGCACCCCCCCCCCCAAUGUCCCAGCAGAAAAUGGCCGAUGGGGGGGGGGUGAGGAAUAGGACUUGGAAAACGCUCUUUGUAUAAUCGGGUUCCAGGAUGAUCGCUUGAAAGGAUCUCAAAAAUAUGUUGAUAAUAAUCACAAUUCAGGUCUGGUGUGUGGAUAGAGACACUGGUUUGUCGAGUUGAGGAGAAUUCGGGGAGGGGGGGGGGGGAGGAGGUUGUUGGUUGAAGACAAGAGACCAUUAAAGAUAAAGCCGAGGAUAAAGAGACAGAACCAGUAGGUUCACUUACUUGUCCGUCUCCUGUGACAUAUUCCUCCGGCUCCUCUUGCGAAACUGGACUUUCAAGUCGGUGCGGUACGGUCUGACGGCAGAACCUGGGCUACAGGCUGAGCGCUUUCAGAUUCCAGGAGGCGGUACCGACGUGGAAACCAGGUCCUUUCAAUUCUUGAUCAAGAAUCCAAUCCAAGGUGAUGGUCUGAAAGAAUCUUCUUUCUACUGAUUAUAAGUGAUCUGCAUUAAUGGAUUAUCUUAUUGCCUCUACCUACCUUUGGUGGGUGCUAUCUGGACCACUGCUCCAACGGAUAACUCAAUGUUAUGAAUGUGGACUGACUAAACAAAGCUGAUCUGUGAUAUUUAGGUACCUUUGUUCUAAGCACUGUAUAUACCCCAAAUAAUAUUGUUUCCGAUACAUUUCUGUUUAAAUAAACAAAGAUGUUUACACACAUGGACAGGAAUGUUAGCAGAGUGCUGUAUUUUAUUGCUAGAAGAAGCAAUCCAUUUUCUUUUUAACUCUUGGUAUCUGCAGAUCAUGAAUGGAGGAAAACAGAAGGAGUGUGAUUUUAUGAAUUUCUGUUAACGUGAAAAGCAGACCAAUUUGUCAGCUCAUCAGUGUUACGUUUAGUCAACAUUUAGAAUAAAAAGGCCUAAAAGCUCCUUCCGCAACCACAUCUUCUGGAAGCCAAAAUGACUGGCAGUAGAUUUGACCAUUAUUGUGAGACCAGUCCUUUUUAUGAUCCUUCAGCUGCGUACAUUGAGGCCCAUUUUAGAUUGCCGCACUGCUAACUCAGCACAUACUCUGCAAUAAAAUCCUCUUGUUCAAUGUGAAUGCUGGAAAGGUUUUUUACAUUGGUGACAAAGUAUAGGAAACAUCAAACAUGACUCAGCCUUUCCAAGCCAUCAAUCAACUGCAUCCCAUUUGUUCUUAAAUUUGGCAACAUAAUCCAGCUUCAGUAUUCCUCUCAGCAGUCAUUUCCACGCAUUCACCGCCCUCUGUAUAAACACAUUCAAUUUAAAUUAUCCGUCUCUUUCUGACCUUCAGUCAGUGCAACCUUUUAAGGUGUGACAACUAAAAGCAUUUUUCAGGUUCAAUUUAUCCAACCCUAUCUCUGAGUCUUGAAUACUUCAGUAAGAUUUCCCUCUGCUUUCACUUCUCGAACCACAAUGUCCAGAUUUUAUAGCUUCUUCAGCUCAAGUGUCUAAAACCUGAUGCAAAUUUACUCACUCUUUGAUGUUCGCCUGUCCAAGGUCAAAAAAAGUCUCAACAGCAAUUACAUAUAUGGAAUUGAACCAACAUGUUUUAGAAACUCACUAUCGUGAAUUGGAACUGCUACCAUAGCCCUCUCUGUAGUUAUCCUAGGAUUUUCCUCAUUUACUGAUGCUACAUUCUAUGUUCACAGUUUUAAUGAUCACUAAUACCCCGGACCUUCUUGUAAGUUUUGCCAUGAGUGCGUUUGUAUCUGAGUCUUCAGAGGCCAGAGUGACUAACUCAGGAAAGAAAAUAAGAGUCACUUUGGCAUGAAGUUACCUUGUGAGUCUGUGGACUAUAAGGAAUGCUGAUGAGACCUUUGGUGGGUGUUCUCUGGACCACGGGUACUGGGGGAAGCACCUGUCCAGAAGUGUGGGGAAGGGUGUGUACCCUCUCAAACAGUCGAAGCAGAGGGUGACUGUCCAUACGGGUGAGUGGGUCACUGGGAGAACACCACAUUGCGUGUUUAUAGGUAUUUAUUUGCAAACAUCAUGGGUGUUGGGGAAACAGAGGGGACCAACAAGAAGUCUCCAAAUCUGUGGAUGACAUGGUGGCUUAGAGGUUGGCAAUGCUGUCUCACAGCAGCAGGGACCAGGGUUUGAUUCCAGCCUUGGAUGAUUGUCUGUGGGGAGUUUUUACGUUCUCCCUGUGUCUGUGUGGAUUUCUACUGGGUUCUCCGAUUUCCUCCCAUAGUCCUUUGCUGUGCAGGUUAGGUGGAUUAGCCAUGGUAAAUGCAGGGUUACAGGGAUAGGUAGAGGGCUGGGAUGUUCAUUGAGGGUCAGUAUGGACUUGAUGGGAUGAAUGGCCACUUUCCAUGCUGUAGGGAUUCUAUGAUUCUUCAACCACAGUUUCAAAACUGGAACGAGUAGUGUCCAGGCAGCAAACAAUCCAAGACACAAGAUGACCACUUCAAAUAAGGGGCAGUUCCAUAAAAUCCAGGGCUGCUGACCACUUUGUCUGAAAUGCCACCAGCCACCCUCCUCCAGUCCUCUCAGAUCUUUGUGUUGUUCUGACUCUGAAUUGCUAGAUCAUCCCUGAUUUUCAUUGCUCCACUAUUGGUAGCCAUGCUUUCAGCUGACUAUACACUUAGCUCUAGGAUUCUCUCUCCAAAUCUUUCAGCCUCUCUUCAUAUAAGACACUCCUUAAAAUCUACCUUUUUGACAAAGUAUUUGGUCCUCAGUCCUAAUAACUGCUUCAAUUGCUUGCUGUCAAAUUUGGUUUGAUGAUAUUCCUAUGA